GGAGAUGUAGCUCAGUUGGUAGAGUGCUUGCCUGGCAUGCAAAAGGUUCUGGGUUCAAUCUCCAGCACCACAA
rfam:Ictidomys tridecemlineatus contig105113, whole genome shotgun sequence.